rnacentral:rRNA from 1 species
AGAGUUUGAUCAUGGCUCAGAAUCAACGCUGGCGGCGUGCCUAACACAUGCAAGUCGCACGAGAAAGGGGCUUCGGCCCUGAGUAAAGUGGCGCACGGGUGAGUAACACGUGAAUCAUCUACCUUCGAGUGGGGAAUAACUGAGAGAAAUCUUAGCUAAUACCGCAUAAUACCCACGGGUCAAAGCAGCAAUGCGCUUGAAGAGGAGUUCGCGGCAGAUUAGUUAGUUGGCGGGGUAAUGGCCCACCAAGACGAUGAUCUGUAUCCGGCCUGAGAGGGCGCACGGACACACUGGAACUGAAACACGGUCCAGACUCCUACGGGAGGCAGCAGUGGGGAAUUUUGCGCAAUGGGGGAAACCCUGACGCAGCAACGCCGCGUGGAGGAUGAAGUAUCUUGGUACGUAAACUCCUUUCGAUGGGGAAGAUAAUGACGGUACCCAUAGAAGAAGCCCCGGCUAACUUCGUGCCAGCAGCCGCGGUAAUACGAGGGGGGCAAGCGUUGUUCGGAAUUAUUGGGCGUAAAGGGUGCGUAGGCGGUUUGAUAAGUCUGAUGUGAAAUCUCUGGGCUCAACCCAGAGUCUGCAUUAGAAACUGUCGGGCUUGAGUAUGGGAGAGGUGAGUGGAAUUUCCGGUGUAGCGGUGAAAUGCGUAGAUAUCGGAAGGAACACCUGUGGCGAAAGCGGCUCACUGGACCAUAACUGACGCUGAGGCACGAAAGCUAGGGGAGCAAACAGGAUUAGAUACCCUAGUAGUCC